AAGUCGUAACAAGGUUUCCGUAGGUGAACCUGCGGAAGGAUCAUUAACACGUAUCCAAACGUAAAAAACCCCCCCCGUGAACAUUCAAUCCUGCUCUUGUAACCCGCGUAGUUCGCAAUCUCUGGUAUCUCAUUGCCCGGAAAGUAGUUUUGAUUCAGAGACCUCUGGCUACGUGAGAACAUUGGAACAGUUAAAAUCGAGCGGUAGUUUCAUAGGCAUUGUUUCCCCAAGCAGUCAGUGUCUGAAAGUGUCACUGAUUGUGCAAGGAUAGCGCUUCAACGAUUCCUGUAGACCGUACACUCGGGCAGGAGCUAUGCCAAAGGGUCCCCAUGCCCCCUUAUAACCCCACAGUUUAAUGUGAAGCUCAAUGUAAUACAUUGGGUAAAAAAACCGAACAACUGUUAACAAUGGAUAUCUUGGUUCUC
rnacentral:misc_RNA from 1 species